rnacentral:rRNA from 1 species
GACAGAGGGUGCAAACGUUGUUCGGAAUUACUGGGCAUAAAGCGCACGUAGGUGGUCCACUAAGUCGAGUGUGAAAUCCCCCGGCUCAACCGGGGAACUGCGCUCGAUACUGGUGGACUCGAGGUCGGUAGGGGUGAGCGGAACUCCAGGUGGAGCGGUGAAAUGCGUAGAUAUCUGGAGGAACACCGGUGGCGAAAGCGGCUCACUGGAUCGAAUCUGACACUGAGGUGCGAAAGCUAGGGCAGCAAACGGG